UAUUUUGACAGGAAAAUACAACAAAGAAUAUCGUUUACAUGUAGCGCGUCAAUUCUGCAUGUUAUGAAAGACUCUCUUGCUCUGUAUCUUUCUUUGCGUGCGAGUAUGUGAGAGAAAGCGACGUCGAGUCGUGCGCCUUCACACUAGAGUUUAUGACUGCAUUGGUUAAGUUUACGGGGCUGUCACGUGAUGAACAAAUGACUCAAACCCGAAGACUUGUCAGAUAAGAGGUGAGCAGCUGUCAUGACAUCCAGUUCAUCUCCUCUAUCUUCAUGGGCCUCAAGUCCAUGUUUUCCAGGCGCUGAGAGGAUAUUCCAGCUGAUUGGCCCAGUGUGAGAGUGGCAAGAACACAGAUCACCAUUAACUCAGGCACAUCUGGAGUUAUUUCUUCAUAUCUUGCUCAGAACUCAAGGUAUUCAGCCGAAAGAAUUGGACAGGUUGACUCGAGCAGUGCUGUUGUUAUCUAGCGCCUGCACAUGUCUGCAUGUGGACAAAACCCAUCAGUGUAACCACUGGAGCGGCAGCCAUCUUAUCGUGAACAGAACCAGCUUCCUUCUUCCCCCUUUCCUGCACUGGACCCCAGCGGUCAUGUCAAACGGAUAUGACUGAAGCGUCUCGGCUCUUGACACCUCUCUUAAGGUCUGAGAUUACAGGACUGGGAAUUAGACGUCAUCGGAAGAGACUAUCAGCCCCUGACACACCGUACAUGUUCAGCAUGGCAUGAUAAUCUCUCUGCGUGUGUUAACAUGACAUUAAAGCAAUUGUGCUUUA